rnacentral:rRNA from 1 species
AGUGAACGCUGGCGGUAGGCCUAACACAUGCAAGUCGAACGGCAGCACAGUAAGAGCUUGCUCUUACGGGUGGCGAGUGGCGGACGGGUGAGGAAUACAUCGGAAUCUACUUUUUCGUGGGGGAUAACGUAGGGAAACUUACGCUAAUACCGCAUACGACCUACGGGUGAAAGCAGGGGAUCUUCGGACCUUGCGCGAUUGAAUGAGCCGAUGUCGGAUUAGCUAGUUGGCGGGGUAAAGGCCCACCAAGGCGACGAUCCGUAGCUGGUCUGAGAGGAUGAUCAGCCACACUGGAACUGAGACACGGUCCAGACUCCUACGGGAGGCAGCAGUGGGGAAUAUUGGACAAUGGGCGCAAACCUGAACCAGCCAUACCGCGUGGGUGAAGAAGGCCUUCGGGUUGUAAAGCCCUUUUGUUGGGAAAGAAAAGCAGCAGGUUAAUACCCCGCUGUUCUGACGGUACCCAAAGAAUAAGCACCGGCUAACUUCGGG